UGGGGAAUAUUGGACAAUGGGCGAAAGCCUGAUCCAGCCAUGCCGCGUGAGUGACGAAGGCCUUAGGGUUGUAAAACUCUUUCGUCGGGGACGAUAAUGACGGUACCCGAAGAAGAAGCUCCGGCUAACUUCGUGCCAGCAGCCGCGGUAAUACGAAGGGAGCUAGCGUUGUUCGGAAUCACUGGGCGUAAAGCGCACGUAGGCGGAUAGUUAAGUCAGGGGUGAAAUCCCGGAGCUCAACUUCGGAACUGCCUUUGAUACUGGCAAUCUAGAGUCCGGAAGAGGUUAGUGGAAUUCCCAGUGUAGAGGUGAAAUUCGUAGAUAUUGGGAAGAACACCAGUGGCGAAGGCGGCUAACUGGUCCGGUACUGACGCUGAGGUGCGAAAGCGUGGGGAACAAACAGGAUUAGAUACCCUUGUAGUCCCUGAGCGGGCUGGCAAGGCGCAU
rnacentral:rRNA from 1 species